AGCAGCCGCGGUAAUUCCAGCUCCAAUAGCGUAUAUUAAAGUUGUUGCAGUUAAAAAGCUCGUAGUUGAAUUUCGAGACCGGUUUACUGGUCGUGCUUUUGUACGUACUGGUAUAAUCGGUUUCUCUUUUCUGACGAAUUAUAAUGCCAUUAAUUUGGUGUUAUAGGGAAUCAGGACUGUUACUUUGAAAAAAUUAGAGUGUUUAAAGCAGGCUCACGCUUGAAUACAUUAGCAUGGAAUAACGAAAUAGGACGUUUGAUUCUAUUUUGUUGGUUUCUAGGAUCGACGUAAUGAUUAAUAGGGAUAGUUGGGGGCAUUAGUAUUCAAUUGUCAGAGGUGAAAUUCUUGGAUUUAUUGAAGACUAACUACUGCGAAAGCAUUUGCCAAGGAUGUUUUCAUUAAUCAAGAACGAAAGUUAGGGGAUCGAGACGAUCAGAUACCGUCGUAGUCUUAACCAUAAACUAUA
rnacentral:rRNA from 1 species